GUGGGAGGAAGGGUUGGAGCCCCAGCAGGUUGUCUGGGCUUCGUUUGCUUUUCGGCAAGGUCCUGGCCCAGGCCCCAGUCCCUCUUGGAGCGGAAGCCUCUGGACCUGUUGCUCCUAAGAAAGCAAGCGGCCCCUGACGCGUUGCUGUGGCCUGGUUUGACCCUCGUAGCCAGCCCAUGUUCUGUGAGGCAUGAAGCGCCACGCAGACACCACGACAAAGUCUCGCUUAGUCGCCCAGGCUGGAGCGCAGUGGCGAUCAUGGCCCACUGCGGCCUCGACCUCCUGGGCUCCAGCGUGCGUCUAAUCUAGAACCAAAUCCUCCUUCCUUAGAUCAUCCCCCAAAUCACCCAACUACAGGUGAAAUCCUGUAAUAGUUUCCUCCGAACACCCUGUUGCUG
rnacentral:lncRNA from 1 species